rnacentral:tRNA from 1 species
GUAGAUGUAAUUUAAAUAAAAUGUUGGGUUGUGACUCCAAAAACAGAGGUUAGAAUCCUCUCAUCCACC